rnacentral:rRNA from 1 species
UACGUAGGGUGCAAGCGUUUAAUCGGAAUUACUGGGCGUAAAGCGUGCGCAGGCGGUUAUGUAAGACAGGUGUGAAAUCCCCGGGCUUAACCUGGGAACUGCAUUUGUGACUGCAUAGCUAGAGUACGGUAGAGGGGGAUGGAAUUCCGCGUGUAGCAGUGAAAUGCGUAGAUAUGCGGAGGAACACCGAUGGCGAAGGCAAUCCCCUGGGCCUGCACUGACGCUCAUGCACGAAAGCGUGGGGAGCAAACAGG